CGUCUUUCCUCAGCUUCUCGAAGAGCCUCCAGUCGUUCCCUUUCCAGUUCUUCCAGUUUCUCCUUAUCUUCAGCACUAUCACCACCUCCGCCAAUAUCUGAAUCAAAUAGUAACCACUUUCCAACACUCGACAUUUUUGUUAUUGAAUUAUUGAU